UUCCAUAACUUAGCUAGGAGAGCGCCACCUUGACAGGGUGGAGGUCGUGAGUUCGAUCCUCUCCGUGGUCA
rnacentral:tRNA from 1 species